CUUUAAUGUAAGACUGUGAUUACUGUAAUUUUGACUGAGGUGGAGGCAGGAAGUAUCUGAACCUAAGACCUCACUCUUCCAUUAGCCAGUGGAAGAAUCUCCUCCCUCAGUGUUUCGUUGUGUGCGAUACAGGCAAGACGCUAAACAUAAAUAUCAGAAAAGGUGUUCUGGAUUUCCUUUUAGAAAAGAAAAAUUCUUGCUGAGCUGCUCACACUGCACAGCUGAUCUGGUGAUAUCAUUGCUGCUGUGACGGUUCACUUGCCAUCGUAUUGAAAUAAGGUAGCUCCUGCUGGAAUGGAGGAGCAAUGCAAGCAACCCUCAUGCCUAAUGGGCUUUGAUUUUCGUGGGAUUAUUGUUUCAUGUUGCAGCACAACUGUUUUCCAUGCUCCUUUCAUCAGAAGCAACUCCCGUGGGCAUAUAUGAGUGGAUUAGAUGUAUGCAAAGGAUGAGUCUUGCUUGCCUUCACUCUUGGAGUGAUGUCACACCUGCAGGAGGAAGAAGACUGCCCUAAAAAUGUGUUCUUGGACACGAGGUGAAGUUGCAGCACUGCCCUUGAAGCCAAGAAACUUGCUUCUAGUUUACACACCAGUGUAGAAAAACUACAAAAUGCAACCAUUAAAGGUAAUCUUGAGUUUGCAUUUAAGUAAGUGCUUAUGUAUGUGGUUA
rnacentral:lncRNA from 1 species